rnacentral:rRNA from 1 species
GUCAGCAGCCAUGUCAACCUGCAAGCAACGCACAACUGGCAAUGCACUGAAGCUCAGCAGGUGGGAGCCUGGUCAGUACCUUGAUGGGAGACCUCCUGGGAAAAACUAAGGUUGCUGCUGGAA